rnacentral:ncRNA from 2 species
GGGAAGCCGGUGCGAAUCCGGCGCUGACCCGCAACCGUGAGCCGUCCUUCAGGCGGCGAGCCGGACC